CAUGUGGUCUUCCAUCGGAUUAUGCAUAAAGAGACAUAUCUGUUGUACUGCAUAGGAGAUAUCAGGACGAGUGAAGGUGAGAUAUUGAAGAGCUCCUGCCAGACUACGAUAGAGAGAUGGAUCCUUACAUGGAUUACUAGUUGUGGCACUCAUUUUCGGUUUUGUAUCAACUGGGGUUAGACACGGCUUACAAGAGGACAUUCCAGCACGUGCAAGAAUUUCUUCAGCAUACUUCUUUUGUGAGAGAAACAACCCUUGUUGGUGACGAGUCACUGCAAUUCACAAGAAGUAACUUAAGGGUCCCAAAUCUUUUCAUAGCGAAUUCAGAACUGAGUAGUGAGAUGAUAGAUUGUCGCAAAUCAUCUGAGGACGUGGCGAGAAUAAUAUCAUCAACAUAGAGUAAAAUAUAUGCCAUAUGAGUGUUUUUCUUGUAUAUGAAAAGAGAGUGAUCACAUUUGCUUUGAGAAAAACCAAUAGAUGAC
rnacentral:lncRNA from 1 species